CCUACGGGUGGCAGCAGUGAGGAAUAUUGGUCAAUGGCCGGAAGGCUGAACCAGCCAUGCCGCGUGAAGGUCAGUGCCCUAUGGGCGUUAAACUUCUUUUGUGCGGGAGCAAUAAUGGUCACGUGUGGCCAGACGAGAGUACCGUACGAAUAAGCAUCGGCUAACUCCGUGCCAGUAGCCGCGGUAAUACGGGGGAAGCAAGCGUUAUCCGGAUUCAUUGGGUUUAAAGGGUACGUAGGCUGGGAGGUAAGUCAGCGGUGAAAUGCCCCCGCUCAACGGGGUGAAGUGCCAUUGAUACUGGCUUGCGGGAAUGCGGAUGCCGUGGGAGGAAUGUGUGGUGUAGCGGUGAAAUGCAUAGAUAUCACACAGAACACCGAUUGCGAAGGCAUCUCACGAAUCCGCGAUUGACGCUGAUGCACGAAAGCGUGGGUAUCAAACAGGAUUAGAUACCCUUGUAGUC
rnacentral:rRNA from 1 species